AUUGAACGCUGGCGGCAUGCUUUACACAUGCAAGUCGAACGGCAGCACGGACUUCGGUCUGGUGGCGAGUGGCGAACGGGUGAGUAAUGCAUCGGAACAUACCCAGUAGUGGGGGACAACUACUCGAAAGAGUAGCUAAUACCGCAUACGCUCUGUGGAGGAAAGUGGGGGAUCGUAAGACCUCAUGCUAUUGGAGUGGCCGAUGUCAGAUUAGGUAGUUGGUGGGGUAAAGGCCUACCAAGCCGACGAUCUGUAGCUGGUCUGAGAGGACGACCAGCCACAGUGGGACUGAGACACGGCCCAGACUCCUACGGGAGGCAGCAGUGGGGAAUUUUGGACAAUGGGCGCAAGCCUGAUCCAGCAAUGCCGCGUGCAGGAAGAAGGCCUUCGGGUUGUAAACUGCUUUUGUACGGGACGAAAAAGCCUUGGUUAAUACCCGAGGCCGAUGACGGUACCGUAAGAAUAAGCACCGGCUAACUACGUGCCAGCCGCCGCAGUAACAC
rnacentral:rRNA from 1 species